rnacentral:rRNA from 1 species
GGGUUGUGAGGUUAAGCGACUAAGCGUACACGGUGGAUGCCCUGGCAGUCAGAGGCGAUGAAGGACGUGCUAAUCUGCGAUAAGCGUCGGUAAGGUGAUAUGAACCGUUAUAACCGGCGAUUUCCGAAUGGGGAAACCCAGUGUGAUUCGUCACACUAUCAUUAACUGAAUCCAUAGGUUAAUGAGGCGAACCGGGGGAACUGAAACAUCUAAGUACCCCGAGGAAAAGAAAUCAACCGAGAUUCCCCCAGUAGCGGCGAGCGAACGGGGAGCAGCCCAGAGCCUGAAUCAGUGUGUGUGUUAGUGGAAGCGUCUGGAAAGGCGCGCGAUACAGGGUGACAGCCCCGUACACAAAAAUGCACAUGCUGUGAGCUCGAUGAGUAGGGCGGGACACGUGGUAUCCUGUCUGAAUAUGGGGGGACCAUCCUCCAAGGCUAAAUACUCCUGACUGACCGAUAGUGAACCAGUACCGUGAGGGAAAGGCGAAAAGAACCCCGGCGAGGGGAGUGAAAAAGAACCUGAAACCGUGUACGUACAAGCAGUGGGAGCACGCUUAGGCGUGUGACUGCGUACCUUUUGUAUAAUGGGUCAGCGACUUAUAUUCUGUAGCAAGGUUAACCGAAUAGGGGAGCCGAAGGGAAACCGAGUCUUAACUGGGCGUUAAGUUGCAGGGUAUAGACCCGAAACCCGGUGAUCUAGCCAUGGGCAGGUUGAAGGUUGGGUAACACUAACUGGAGGACCGAACCGACUAAUGUUGAAAAAUUAGCGGAUGACUUGUGGCUGGGGGUGAAAGGCCAAUCAAACCGGGAGAUAGCUGGUUCUCCCCGAAAGCUAUUUAGGUAGCGCCUCGUGAAUUCAUCUCCGGGGGUAGAGCACUGUUUCGGCAAGGGGGUCAUCCCGACUUACCAACCCGAUGCAAACUGCGAAUACCGGAGAAUGUUAUCACGGGAGACACACGGCGGGUGCUAACGUCCGUCGUGAAGAGGGAAACAACCCAGACCGCCAGCUAAGGUCCCAAAGUCAUGGUUAAGUGGGAAACGAUGUGGGAAGGCCCAGACAGCCAGGAUGUUGGCUUAGAAGCAGCCAUCAUUUAAAGAAAGCGUAAUAGCUCACUGGUCGAGUCGGCCUGCGCGGAAGAUGUAACGGGGCUAAACCAUGCACCGAAGCUGCGGCAGCGACGCUGAUGCGUUGUUGGGUAGGGGAGCGUUCUGUAAGCCUGUGAAGGUGUGCUGUGAGGCAUGCUGGAGGUAUCAGAAGUGCGAAUGCUGACAUAAGUAACGAUAAAGCGGGUGAAAAGCCCGCUCGCCGGAAGACCAAGGGUUCCUGUCCAACGUUAAUCGGGGCAGGGUGAGUCGACCCCUAAGGCGAGGCCGAAAGGCGUAGUCGAUGGGAAACAGGUUAAUAUUCCUGUACUUGGUGUUACUGCGAAGGGGGGACGGAGAAGGCUAUGUUGGCCGGGCGACGGUUGUCCCGGUUUAAGCGUGUAGGCUGGUUUUCCAGGCAAAUCCGGAAAAUCAAGGCUGAGGCGUGAUGACGAGGCACUACGGUGCUGAAGCAACAAAUGCCCUGCUUCCAGGAAAAGCCUCUAAGCAUCAGGUAACAUCAAAUCGUACCCCAAACCGACACAGGUGGUCAGGUAGAGAAUACCAAGGCGCUUGAGAGAACUCGGGUGAAGGAACUAGGCAAAAUGGUGCCGUAACUUCGGGAGAAGGCACGCUGAUAUGUAGGUGAAGUCCCUCGCGGAUGGAGCUGAAAUCAGUCGAAGAUACCAGCUGGCUGCAACUGUUUAUUAAAAACACAGCACUGUGCAAACACGAAAGUGGACGUAUACGGUGUGACGCCUGCCCGGUGCCGGAAGGUUAAUUGAUGGGGUCAGCGCAAGCGAAGCUCUUGAUCGAAGCCCCGGUAAACGGCGGCCGUAACUAUAACGGUCCUAAGGUAGCGAAAUUCCUUGUCGGGUAAGUUCCGACCUGCACGAAUGGCGUAAUGAUGGCCAGGCUGUCUCCACCCGAGACUCAGUGAAAUUGAACUCGCUGUGAAGAUGCAGUGUACCCGCGGCAAGACGGAAAGACCCCGUGAACCUUUACUAUAGCUUGACACUGAACAUUGAGCCUUGAUGUGUAGGAUAGGUGGGAGGCUUAGAAGUGUGGACGCCAGUCUGCAUGGAGCCGACCUUGAAAUACCACCCUUUAAUGUUUGAUGUUCUAACGUUGACCCGUAAUCCGGGUUGCGGACAGUGUCUGGUGGGUAGUUUGACUGGGGCGGUCUCCUCCUAAAGAGUAACGGAGGAGCACGAAGGUUGGCUAAUCCUGGUCGGACAUCAGGAGGUUAGUGCAAUGGCAUAAGCCAGCUUGACUGCGAGCGUGACGGCGCGAGCAGGUGCGAAAGCAGGUCAUAGUGAUCCGGUGGUUCUGAAUGGAAGGGCCAUCGCUCAACGGAUAAAAGGUACUCCGGGGAUAACAGGCUGAUACCGCCCAAGAGUUCAUAUCGACGGCGGUGUUUGGCACCUCGAUGUCGGCUCAUCACAUCCUGGGGCUGAAGUAGGUCCCAAGGGUAUGGCUGUUCGCCAUUUAAAGUGGUACGCGAGCUGGGUUUAGAACGUCGUGAGACAGUUCGGUCCCUAUCUGCCGUGGGCGCUGGAGAACUGAGGGGGGCUGCUCCUAGUACGAGAGGACCGGAGUGGACGCAUCACUGGUGUUCGGGUUGUCAUGCCAAUGGCACUGCCCGGUAGCUAAAUGCGGAAGAGAUAAGUGCUGAAAGCAUCUAAGCACGAAACUUGCCCCGAGAUGAGUUCUCCCUGACCCUUUAAGGGUCCUGAAGGAACGUUGAAGACGACGACGUUGAUAGGCCGGGUGUGUAAGCGCAGCGAUGCGUUGAGCUAACCGGUACUAAUGAACCGUGAGGCUUAACCUUACAACGCCGAAGCUGUU